rnacentral:rRNA from 1 species
UCCAGACUCCUACGGGAGGCAGCAGUGGGGGAUAUUGCACAAUGGGGGGAACCCUGAUGCAGCGACGCCGCGUGGGUGAAGGAGCGUUUCGGCGCGUAAAGCCCUAUCGGCAGGGAAGAAGGAGGACGGUACCUGACUAAGAAGCCCCGGCUAACUACGUGCCAGCAGCCGCGGUAAUACGUAGGGGGCAAGCGUUAUCCGGAUUUACUGGGUGUAAAGGGGGCGCAGACGGCAGCGCAAGCCAGGAGUGAAAGCCCGGGGCCCAACCCCGGGACUGCUCUUGGAACUGCGUGGCUGGAGUGCAGGAGAGGCAGGCGGAAUUCCUGGUGUAGCGGUGAAAUGCGUAGAUAUCAGGAGGAACACCGGUGGCGAAGGCGGCCUGCUGGACUGCAACUGACGUUGAGGCCCGAAAGCGUGGGGAGCAAACAGGAUUAGAUACCCCCGUACGU